GUUUAUGGCCCUAAGAGCCUGCAUGCACCCUGCUUAUCCGAUCACGGAAGCUAAGCAGGGUUGGGCCUGGUUAGUACUUGCAUAGGAGACCAUGUAGGAAUGCCGGGUGCUCUAGGCU
ensembl:rRNA 5S_rRNA 5S ribosomal RNA